rnacentral:rRNA from 1 species
CCUACGGGAGUCAGCAGUGGGGAAUAUUGGACAAUGGGGGAAACCCUGAUGCAGCGACGCCGCGUGAGUGAAGAAGUAUUUCGGUAUGUAAAGCUCUAUCAGCAGGGAAGAAGGAAAUGACGGUUCCUGAGUAAGAAGCCCCUGCUAACUACGUGCCAGCAGCCGCGGUAAUACGUGGGGGGCAAGCGUUAUACGGAAUUACUGGGUGUAAAGGGAGCGUAGACGGUAAUGCAAGUCUGGAGUGAAAGGCGGGGGCACAACCCCCGGACUGCUCUGGAAACUGUGUAACUGGAGUGCAGGAGAGGCAGGCGGAAUUCCUAGUGUAGCGGUGAAAUGCGUAGAUAUUAGGAGGAACACCAGUGGCGAAGGCGGCUUGCUGGACUGUAACUGACGUUGAGGCUCGAAAGCGUGGGGAGCAAACAGGAUUAGAUACCCUAGUAGUC